AAAAAAAAGGAAGACGAAAUAGAGAGAAAAAAAAGAAAGAUGAACAAAAAUAUAAAAAAAAACUAAAGAAAUAAAGAAAGAAUAUAGAAACAGAAAAAAAAAUGACUUAAGAAAAUCACAUAAGAUUAAUUUGUUGGCGUAGAGACGAAUCACAAAUUACUGAUAAGAGGAAAGCUUCUGUAUCUUAAUGAAGGGAAGAAAGGAAAUUACAUUAUUAGUGGCUGUGAUGUAGAGGUGAAGGAGACUCCCUAACCACUGCGAUGUAUUUUGAAACGCUCACAUACACAGACUAACAGAAGAGAGUGAGAUGAAAGAAGGGAAAGGAAAUACAGACGUAGAUUAACACAGAGGGAAAGGAAAAAUUUGACUCAGUAAUGAAAUUUGCAAGGUAACACAAACAUAAUGAGAAAAAUUAAUAGUAUAUGAUCUUUUUUUUAUCAAUGUAAGUAUAAUAGAAAAAAAAUGAAACGGACAUAGGCAGAUUAACACAAAAGAAAAAAAAUAAAUGCAGUAAUGAAAUGUGCAAGGUUAACACAAACAUAAUGAGAGAAAUUAAUAGUAUAUGAUUUUUUUGUGUAAGUAUAAUAGAUAAAAAAAAUGAAACAGACGUAGGUAGGUUAACACAAAAGGAAAGGAAAAUUUAAAUACAGUAAUGAAAUGCGCAAGGAUAGAAAUGAAUAGUGUAACAGUAUGAUAGUUGUAUGAUAAAUAAGUCAAAGGAACACAGACGUAGAUUGAUGCAAAAAGAAAGGAAAAAUGAGACCGUAGUGAAAUAUGCAAGGUGACACAAACGUAAGGAAUGAAAUAGUGUAAUGUUAUGAUAGUGAUAUUAAAGAUAAAUAAAAAAAAUGAAACACAUUCUUAGGUCAAUACAAAGGAAAGGAAAAAUGAGACACGGAAAUGAAAUUAACACCAACAUAACGAAAGAAAUGGAGUGUAAUGUUAUAAUAGUUGUAUAAUAGAUAAGAAAAGAAAAUGAAACAGACGUAGGUUAACAAAACGGAAAGGAAAAAAUUGAGACGCAUUAAUGGUAUAUCCAAGGUAACACAAAUAUAAGGAAUGAAAUCAAUAGU